CUGGGAUGUACUGGGAGAGGGGGAGCAUUGCUGGGGGGUACUGGGACGGACUGGGACGUACUGGGAUGUACUGGGAUGUACUGGGAGAGGGGGAGCAUUGCUGGGGGUACUGGGAUGUACUGGGGUGUACUGGGAUGUACUGGGAGAGGAGGACCCUUGCUGGGGGGUACUGGGAUGGACUGGGAUGUACUGGGAUGUACUGGGAGAGGAGGAGCAUUGCUGGGGGGGUACUGGGACGUACUGGGACGUACUGGGACGUACUGGGAUGUACUGGGAUGGACGGGGAGAGGGGGAGCAUUGCUGGGGGGUACUGGGCUGUACUGGGCUGUACUGGGAUGUACUGGGAGAGGAGGUGCAUUGCUGGGACGUACUGGGACGUACUGGGGUGUACUGGGAUGUACUGAGAGAGGGGGAGCAUUGUUGGGGGGUACUGGGAUGGACUGAGAUGUACUGGGAUGUACUGGGAUGUACUGGGGUGUACUGGGAUGUACUGGGAGAGGAGGAGCCUUGCUGGGGAGUACUGGGACGUACUGGGACGUACUGGGAUGUACUGGGAGAGGAGAAGCAUUGCUGGGGGGUACUGGGACGUACUGGGAUGUACUGGGAGAGGAGGACCCUUGCUGGGGGGUACUGGGAUGUACUGGGACGUACUGGGAUGUACUGGGAUGGACUAAGUGUAUUUGGGAUUCUUAUAGGAGAAGAAGGGGGGUGUGUGGGGCCGGGAGUUCCUAUAGGGAGAUCUGUGGGGCUGGGGGGUUUCUAUAGGGAAAUCUGUGGAGCUGGGGAUUCCUGUGGGGAAAUGUGUGGGGCUGGGGGUUUCUGUGGGGAAAUCUGGGGGGCCGGGGGUUCCUAUAGGAGGAGUCUGUCAGGGUUGGGGGUCCCUGUGGGGGGAUGUGUGGGGCUGAGCGGUUUCUAUAGGGAGAUCUGUGGGACUGGGGGUCCCUGUGGGGGGAUGUGUGGGGCCGGGGCUUCCUAUAGGGCGAUGUGUGGGGCCGGGGGUUCCUAUAGGGCGAUGUGUGGGGCCGGGGGUUCCUAUGGGGAAAUCUGUGGGGCUGGGGGUUUCUAUAGGGAAAUCUGUGGGGCUGGGGGUUCCUAUAGGGAGAUGUGUGGGGCCAGGGGUUUCCUGUGGGAGGAGUCUGUCGGGGUUGGAGGUCCCUGUGGGGGGAUG
rnacentral:lncRNA from 1 species